rnacentral:rRNA from 1 species
UACGGGGGGGGCAAGCGUUGUUCGGAAUUACUGGGCGUAAAGGGCUCGUAGGCGGCCAACUAAGUCAUACGUGAAAUCCCUCGGCUUAAACCGGGGAACUGCGUCUGAUACUGGAUGGCUUGAGUUCGGGAGAGGGAUGCGGAAUUCCAGGUGUAGCGGUGAAAUGCGUAGAUAUCUGGAGGAACACCGGUGGCGAAGGCGGCUCUCUGGUCGACCUCUGACGCUGAGACGCGAAAGCGGUGGGGAGCGAACGGG